GGAAGAUUAAUACAAGAUGGCAUCAUGAGUCCACAUGUUCACAUGAUUAAAGGUAUUCCGGUAGACGAUGGGGAUGCGUUCCAUUAGAUAGUAGGCGGGGUAACGGCCCACCUAGUCUUCGAUGGAUAGGGGUUCUGAGAGGAAGGUCCCCCACAUUGGAACUGAGACACGGUCCAAACUCCUACGGGAGGCAGCAGUGGGGAAUUUUGGACAAUGGGGGCAACCCUGAUCCAGCCAUGCCGCGUGAGUGAAGAAGGCCUUCGGGUUGUAAAGCUCUUUCAGCCGGGAAGAAAAUGCAUGGGUUAAUACCCUGUGCAGAUGACGGUACCGGAAUAAGAAGCACCGGCUAACUACGUGCCAGCAGCCGCGGUAAUACGUAGGGUGCGAGCGUUAAUCGGAAUUACUGGGCGUAAAGCGUGCGCAGGCGGUUUUGUAAGACAGGCGUGAAAUCCCCGGGCUUAACCUGGGAACUGCGUUUGUGACUGCAAGGCUAGAGUACGGCAGAGGGGGGUGGAAUUCCACGUGUAGCAGUGAAAUGCGUAGAGAUGUGGAGGAACACCAAUGGCGAAGGCAGCCCCCUGGGUCGAUACUGACGCUCAUGCACGAAAGCGUGGGUAGCAAACAGGAUUAGAUACCCUGGUAGUCCACGCCCUAAACGAUGUCAACUAGGUGUUGGGAGGGUAAAACCUUUUAGUACCGUAGCUAACGCGAGAAGUUGACCGCCUGGGGAGUACGGCCGCAAGGUUAAAACUCAAAGGAAUCGACGGGGACCCGCACAAGCGGUGGAUGAUGUGGAUUAAUUCGAUGCAACGCGAAGAACCUUACCUACCCUUGACAUGUCAGGAACUUUCCAGAGAUGGAUUGGUGCCCGAAAGGGAACCUGAACACAGGUGCUGCAUGGCUGUCGUCAGCUCGUGUCGUGAGAUGUUGGGCUAAGUCCCGCAACGAGCGCAACCCUUGUCGUUAAUUGCCAUCAUUCAGUUGGGCACUUUAACGAGACUGCCGGUGACAAACCGGAGGAAGGUGGGGAUGACGUCAAGUCCUCAUGGCCCUUAUGGGUAGGGCUUCACACGUCAUACAAUGGUCGGUACAAAGGGUCGCCAGCCCGCGAGGGGGAGCCAAUCCCAUAAAGCCGAUCGUAGUCCGGAUUGUAGGCUGCAACUCGCCUGCAUGAAGUCGGAAUCGCUAGUAAUCGUGGAUCAGCAUGUCACGGUGAAUACGUUCCCGGGUCUUGUACACACCGCCCGUCACACCAUGGGAGCGGGUUCCGCCAGAAGUAGGUAGCCUAACCGCAAGGGGGGCGCUUACCACGGCGGGGUUCGUGACUGGGGUGAAGUCGCAACAAGGUA
rnacentral:rRNA from 1 species